rnacentral:lncRNA from 1 species
UUUUGGUUCUGGUGUCUGUAAUUUGUAGUUGUGGAAGGGAGAGCCAUUGUCCUUCACUGCCACGUGGCUAUUUAUUUAUUUAUUUAUACAUAUAUAUUUUUGGUUUGCUGUCAUGCUUUUGUGAUAGCAUAAGAAGAAUCUUGAAGAGUGGGGAGGGAGAAUCGAUUUAUAUCUCCCAUUGGAAGAAAAAUACAUUCUCUACGACGCCUCACUUUGGCUGCUUGUGUGGCUUUUGAUGCCUUUUAAUCAUGAAAAAACUCAUUCUCAUGUUUCAAUAAAAGUGGAAUAUCUAUAUAUAUAUAUAUAUAUAGAUAGACACAUGAAUGGUAUGUAUGGACCCCAUAGGUACCAUUGUUCUUGUUCUUGAUGAAUUGAUUGACUUGAACAUUACAAAUAAUGUUUUUUAAUAUACAUUAAAUGUUUCUAUAAUAAGAUUGUAACUAUUUGGAAUAAAUAAUUGUUU